AUUGAACGCUGGCGGCAGGCCUAACACAUGCAAGUCGAGCGGUAGCACAGAGAGCUUGCUCUCGGGUGACGAGCGGCGGACGGGUGAGUAAUGUCUGGGAAACUGCCUGAUGGAGGGGGAUAACUACUGGAAACGGUAGCUAAUACCGCAUAACGUCGCAAGACCAAAGUGGGGGACCUUCGGGCCUCAUGCCAUCAGAUGUGCCCAGAUGGGAUUAGCUGGUAGGUGGGGUAACGGCUCACCUAGGCGACGAUCCCUAGCUGGUCUGAGAGGAUGACCAGCCACACUGGAACUGAGACACGGUCCAGACUCCUACGGGAGGCAGCAGUGGGGAAUAUUGCACAAUGGGCGCAAGCCUGAUGCAGCCAUGCCGCGUGUGUGAAGAAGGCCUUCGGGUUGUAAAGCACUUUCAGCGGGGAGGAAGGCGGUGAGGUUAAUAACCUCACCGAUUGACGUUACCCGCAGAAGAAGCACCGGCUAACUCCGUGCCAGCAGCCGCAGUAAGAC
rnacentral:rRNA from 1 species